rnacentral:rRNA from 1 species
UACAGAGGGUGCAAGCGUUAAUCGGAAUUACUGGGCGUAAAGGGUGCGUAGGUGGUUGAAUAAGUUAGGUGUGAAAGCCCCGGGCUUAACCUGGGAAUUGCGCCUAAUACUGUUUAGCUAGAGUACUGUAGAGGAAGGUGGAAUUUCCGGUGUAGCGGUGAAAUGCGUAGAUAUCGGAAGGAACAUCAGUGGCGAAGGCGACUUUCUGGACAGAUACUGACACUGAGGCACGAGAGCAUGGGGAGCAAACAGGAUUAGAUACCCUGGUAGUCCAUGCUGUAAACGAUGAGAACUGGCUGUUGGUUGCCGUGAGGCAAUUAGUAGCGAAGCUAACGCGUUAAGUUCUCCGCCUGGGGAGUACGGCCGCAAGGCUAAA